rnacentral:tRNA from 1 species
GCUGACAUGGAUCGGCUUCUGGUCGGCGUCGCCGUGUGCGUCGAGCGGUACGGUGAUGCUGCCGUCCGGUUGUGCCGCACAACUUGCCAGCA